CAGUAGCCGCGGUAAUACGAAGGGGGCUAGCGUUGCUCGGAAUCACUAGGCGUAAAGGGUGCGUAGGCGGGUCUUUAAGUCAGGGGUGAAAUCCUGGAGCUCAACUCCAGAACUGCCUUUGAUACUGAAGAUCUUGAGUUCGGGAGAGGUGAGUGGAACUGCGAGUGUAGAGGUGAAAUUCGUAGAUAUUCGCAAGAACACCAGUGGCGAAGGCGGCUCACUGGCCCGAUACUGACGCUGAGGCACGAAAGCGUGGGGAGCAAACAGGAUUAGAUACCCGCGUAGUCCCUGUCUCUUAUAC
rnacentral:rRNA from 1 species